ACAAUUUCUUUAAUUAAAUUAAAUGAGUUAUUGUUUUUCAUAUUCAUAGGAUAUUGUAACUUCUAAUUUGGUUUGAUUUUGGUUUUAUAUGGUGGAUAUGAUUUAAUAGACUUUGGUUUUUUUGCACAUGGGUUUGUGUUUGUAUAAUGUGUUGAGUUGAUUCUCCUCACUAAUUAUUUAGUGGGUUCAUCAUAUUGUUAAUUUGGUAUAUUAUAUAGUGUGUAUUCUAUAUGUUAGUUGUUGAACGUUGAGUCGUUGAGAUAAAAUUUUAGUAUAUGAUCUGAUGAGCAUGGGCUGAUUUUGAGGCAUUGAUCCCUAAACUUUGGCACUCCGAUUAUUACACAGAACUCCGUAAACUUAUCAUCUAGUUGAAUGAUAAGGUAGGUUUGAUAAUUAUGUUUAUUCACUACUACAUUUUUAAUCAAAUGCAACGGUUAAAAAGAGUUAUUGCAACGGCUCGUUUUAUUGCCGUUGCAUUAGAUAACCCUAAUACAACGACAUAAACUUUGUACAUCAAAAAGUGGGGCUAACGCAACGGCUUCAAGAAGUCGUUCCAUUUAGGGGUGCUAAUACAAUGGCCUAAAAGGCUAAUGCCACAGUAGUGAUUUUGGAAUUUUUAAAUGCGCUUAAAUUGAGAUAAUCCGCCCCUCUAAUAAGAAUUUUGUGAGUCACUAGUUGGAGGACCUCUUUCAUACAUACCCUCUCUCUCUCUUUCACACACACUCUAUCUCUCCUCAAUUGAGCAAGCUUUCUGAUGAAGCGGCGUACUCUGGGCUUUCUUCUCUCCAUUGAAGCUGGGUUGAGGUACUUAUUAUUAUUAAUCAUCAAAUAUCAAUUUGACAAUCUAGGGUUUAACUAUCUUUGAUUUAAUUGUCAACAAUCUAGGGUUCUUUGGUGGAUUUGAAUUUCUAGUAAUUUGUUAUUUACUCACUAUUUGUAUCACUUGUUACUCCAAUGGUCGUGGAUCUUGUGUUCGACCACCAUCAGUGGACAUUCGUCGCAAUGUUGUUGUAGGUCGUCAAAAGAAGAUCUAUGAAGUAAUAUUUUGAACCCACAGGGUUAGUCAGAAACCAACUGUGUGAAAAUCGACUUCCAUCUGUUCUGGACAGUUUAUGUUGUUAUGAAACAAAAGCUUCCUCUUUCCCCCAGACAGAAAAAACGUUCUCAGCUCUGACCUUCAUUUUCAGGUGGGGCAUCAGCAACUAAGCAUUUUUUUAAUUGUGGUAUUUAUUGGUUUAGGAUGUGCGAUGAUUAUGCUAAGCUUUUUCUUAGAAAUUUUUUUACUUAUGCUUGUUUAUGUAAACACGCCCAGAGAACCAAGAAGGUUGGUAUUGUCGGGAAAUACAGUACCCGUUAUGGUGCUAGUCUGCAUAAGUAGAUUAAGAAGAUGGAAGUAAGUCAGCACAACAAGUACUUCCGCGAGUUCUGAAUAUGGGGAAGAAAGGAGCAUAACCCCGAGCCUGGAAAGCAGAAUGCUGGAAUUGAUCAUAUCACAGCAAGACUUAAUAAAGACACGACACACAAAUAUUUAAUUUUGAUACUUAUUUCAUGGUUUAAUUAGUGACAUACUAUAUAAUUUUGUAAUUUUCCCUAAGGGUAACAAACUAACAAUGUACAAGUCUACAACUUAUAUUAAUAAAGUUUGGAUUUGAUUAUUA